rnacentral:rRNA from 1 species
CGGAGGGUGCAAGCGUUAUCCGGAUUCACUGGGUUUAAAGGGUGCGUAGGUGGGUUGGUAAGUCAGUGGUGAAAUCUCCAGGCUUAACUUGGAAACUGCCAUUGAUACUAUCAAUCUUGAAUACCGUGGAGGUUAGCGGAAUAUGUCAUGUAGCGGUGAAAUGCUUAGAUAUGACAUAGAACACCAAUUGCGAAGGCAGCUGGCUACACGAAUAUUGACACUGAUGCACGAAAGCGUGGGGAUCAAACAGGAUUAGAUACCCUGGUAGUCCACGCCCUAAACGAUGGAUACUCGACAUACGCGAUAUACAGUGUGUGUCUGAGCGAAAGCAUUAAGUAUCCCACCUGGGAAGUACGAUCGCAAGAUUG